UACGAGGGGUGCAAGCGUUGCUCGGAAUUACUGGGCGUAAAGCGCACGUAGGCGGGUUGUUAAGUCGGGGGUGAAAUCCUGGAGCUCAACUCCAGAACUGCCUUCGAAACUGACGAUCUUGAGUUCGGGAGAGGUGAGUGGAACUGCGAGUGUAGAGGUGAAAUUCGUAGAUAUUCGCAAGAACACCAGUGGCGAAGGCGGCUCACUGGCCCGAUACUGACGCUGAGGUGCGAAAGCGUGGGGAGCAAACAGGGAUUAAGAA
rnacentral:rRNA from 1 species